rnacentral:lncRNA from 1 species
UAUAGGAAUGAUCAAGGGGGGUUUGCUUGCCUUGUUGCUCUAUAGACAGAUACAGAUCCCUGACGUUGAAGUAGUCGAUCACCGGAUCAACAUCGGUCCUGGGGUCUACCGGAAAGGAAAAUAACGAAGGUGAAACACAAUAAAUAAGUGAGCAAGCAAACACACCACAAAGCAUGACAAGGUAAUACACCGUGUCAGGGAUGACCUAACGCGAUACUAAAAGUUACAGACGAAGCCGGAAAAUAUCUCACGAUAUUUCCCGGCCUUCGGCUAUUACCGAGCAG